CAAAUUGUAGAAUAAAUCCUAAAGUUUAAUUAUUGUGAACACGAAAAUUUUUUAUAUUUGGCGACAUAGUUUUUUUUAAAGAAAUGUAUCUCAAACGAAAAUUCGGAAAUUGUCGUUGCUUAGUUGAUAAACAAAAUGUUUCAGACGAUAAAUUUGUCAACAAUCACCUUUAGUUCACGUUCUUGUACAAUACAAUUUCUUGAACCUUCUGGCUGUAUUUAUUCCUAGUUUUUAGAAUGACAUGUUUAUUUUUACGCUCGAAAUCUGGCUGUAAAGACACACAAUGAAGUCACUCCUUUUUACCGCCAUUUUGAGCUUUCGAAAACGUUCGGAACAGCUUCUCAUCAAGUUCGCA